rnacentral:lncRNA from 1 species
GCAGAAUUUUAUCUGUGGCUGUCUGGUCCUUUUAAUAUCGGUAGUACCAAUAUGGUUUCCAAGGACAUGAUGUACUCCCAGUGCCUAUUGUAAUUUUAUUUUUUAGCUAUUUUUAUUGGAAUGAAUGAAUAAACUAUUAAAAUACAAAGAAUCCUUUUAUAACUAUAAAGGAAAUGUGUAAAAAGCAAUGAAAAGGAUAAGAAAUGGUUUCUAAAUUGAACAGUUUGUUUUAUUAUUAACAAUAACAAUAAAGUAAGUCACACAGCUCAUAAGUCCUCCCAGAUGAGACAUCUGUGGGAUUCUCUAGUUUGAAAAGAAACUUAGCUUAUAAACAUGUCAGCCAUGUCCCGAAUAAAAUGAGGAUUUCGCACUACAUGGAAAUGAAACUAUUUGUUCUUCAACAUGUCCAAGAUUCAGUGUUAUUUUAAGAUGCUUUUCCUUCCAAUUAAAUAGGACAUGUUUUCCAUCAGCUGCAGAGGGAAAAGGUACCAGUAACUUUGAUGAAUAUAAAUUGCUUAAGCUACUAAACUUAAGAUCAUAGGCUGUCAACCACUGAUACAAAAUCUAAAUCCAAUCCAGCUCACAGUGUAAAGAGUCUGAACCUUUGUUAGCAAAGAUCAUCUCCAUAUUCUGGUUACCACAUUUGACCUUUAAUGAGUUGGGACAGCUAAAUGAUUUUGAAGAUGGGAGUGGUGUAACUAGUUAUAACUGUAACUAGUUCCUAAAAAUUUACCGUACUUUUUUUUUUUUUGUGGCAUGAAAAAGAAAAGAAAAAAGAAAGGAGAGAGGUGUAUUUAGUAGCCAUUGAGAUACACAACAUAAAGGGAGUUAGUGAAAGCUUCUCUUUUUCCAUGCCCCUGUCCCAGAAACAAUGUGAGGACUUGUCCUCUGCCUCUAAGGUGAUGUCAGUUUUAUCAAUGACAACGUGUCAAUUAAAUGCUCCCAACUUUGUAUGCAAUGCUUUUCAACUUUCACUGACUCUAUUCGACUCUCUUCUCUGCUCACGGCAAUAAUGAAUCAUGAUAUAUUACAACAAAAAUUAAAGAAGCACAAUACACUUCCUGAAGGCUCCACAAAUGGGAAGAAGGGAAUGGAAAGAAUGUGGCCUUCAGCAUCAUACAAAUCCAUCACUUAAGAGCAUUAUGACCUCGGUCAAACUAUUUCACUUCUGCCGAGGAAGUGGGGGGCAUUUUCAUCAACUAUAAUAUGGAGGACAAUAGUUUUUCACAGAGUUGUGGCGGAUAGUAUAAACAUAAUAUAUUUUGAAGCACCUAGCACAGGGUAAUUUUUAAAUUUUUUGGUUUCUUACUUAGAAUAUUAAAUAUACAGAGAAUUAUUUUUUUUCUGAUGUCUUAUGCAACCUCUUUUUUCAUAUUCAGGGCCAAUGGCUACCCUAAAGUAAAAUGAUUCAUUCAUGACAGAAAAAAGGAGACUUUGCCCAUAAACUUCUCCUAAACUAUUAUAGAAAUGAUGCUUUGAGGAUCUCAUCUUCAUUCUAAACGUAGCAGAGUGGCUUGAAGGGUUAAGGUGAGCAGGGAAGCCGAGCAGAUGGGGCUUUGAGUUUCUCUCCCUACUUCAACCAAAGCAGCUGCACUGUGUUCUGUUUUACAUUGACCAUGCAUAAAUGUGGGAUUUGGGAAAUUCACCAAUGAUGUCCUACUUCUUUAUUGUCUUGUUAGUGCCACACAGGACCUGACUAAAAUCCUGUGAAGAGAGGAGGGGUGUCCCCAGCUGUUCUCACUGUGCAUAAUCCUGGAAGAAGUUCAUGGUGCUUCCUGUAUUAACAUCCUUGCAAGUGGUACCUGCCUCUCUGAGGAUCCAGCUACGCAAUGAAUCUGAGAAAGCUUAAAAUCGGAAAUGCUGCUCUAGUAAUGGUUCUCAAACCCUGGUGGUCUUGACAUACAGGUCUUAUUAAAACACAGUUGCUGGGCUCCACCUAAGAGAUCUGGAUUCUGAAUUUGUAUGUCUAACAAGUUUCCAGAAGUUUGAUGCCACAAUGGAUGCUACCAAUGACACCAUUUGAUUUGGAAAUAAGGAGAUAGGCCCAAGUUUUUAUCGGACACACCCCUCAUUCUUCGUUCAUCACAGCAUCCCUGAAAUUGAAAGCCAGCAGCGACCCGAGUCAAUUUUCUACACUCAAAUUUGCAUGCCUGGUGUAAAUUUCCAGGAGCUUUCCUCCUGGAAAGCCAGUGUCUCAUACGCCUCCCAGCAAACACUGACCACAUCCUGAACGAAGCUAAGCACUGUGUAAUGCUAAGCAGACCUGGGCCCGUAGGAAACAAGAUGCCACAUUCGGGACAGCUGUCAGCACUCAUCCAACACCCUGCCUUCCACUCGUCCAUCCCUGCAAUUAGUGAGGAGUGAGGUUUGGAGCUGUGCCAAUUCAACCUGGAAUGGGAAACAUCGAGCUCUGACACCCUUAAGAGCUACCAAGAUUUUGUGAUGGAAAUGAAGCUGACAGUUUUGUCAGGGAUGUGAGAAGCAGAAUCAGAUUCAGCUAGUUCCUGCGGAGAUGUGCUGGCUCUAUCAAGAUGAAGAUAAUAAAAAACAUACCUGAGCAGUAUAAUAAUUUAGCCACUUCAAGUCAUCAGUGUAUUCCACAAAUUAGUUGACUAACAAAUCUGGCCAAUAUAACUAUCAACAGAAAGGAGGUUUCCUAAGUGUCUGGACAAAAAGAGACCUAGGGGGUAAGUUUUCCAUUUGAUUCUCAAGAAGGCAUGAGUAAUGGUAAAAAAUUGAGAGAACGCUACUAAAAGGAGAAUAAAAUAAUGCUGAAUUCUGCCUAUUUUUCAACGUUCCUUAAAGCCAAUUCUGGUAAUAACAACUGCCCACAUCCACAACAUAUUUUUAGUAUCUACAGUACUUCUUCAGAAUCCAGUUUCUCUAGUUGAAGGAUGUGGUUAUCAGUCCUGGAUUACCAUUCUUCCUGGGGUACAGGAAAUUGGAUCUUGAGCUACUUACAUGAGAACAUAGUUAGCAAGUGAUUUUUACCUAGACCAGGAUCAUAUUGGGCAUUUUGGAGACAGAAAAAUUGUCUUCAUUCUCAGUAUACAAAAGCCUGCUCUGAAGUAAUAAAUACGUCUCUUAGAGUGCCCAGUUCACUAACAGAAAGGGAAAGUUGCCAUUAGGGAGAUCUGAUUCCUUCUAUCAGUGGGCACAAGAAGUUAGGCCAAGCCCCUCCUAGAAGACAGUCACAUUACAAGUAUCAUUGACCCAGGUCCCAGGGCUCAGUAAUAUUCAGCCCUUUCUAGGUUAUACAAUUUUCUUCAUUGUCAAGAUAUUAAAUGGUGAUGUAAAGGACAGACAUAUCUCCAGUAGGAAAAGAAAUUGAGAUUCUGUUUCAUGACAGGUUAACAGAAUAAGUUGAAAUUAACUCUUAUAAAGAGAAAUUUCAAGUACAUUCCUUUCCUCUACCCUACAGAUAUAAUUAUUCCCUUAUUAUGACAUGACGGUGGUUGAAUUAUAAAAGUUACAUAGGCUUAUCGUUUGAGAUGUUGCAUUUAUUUUAUUUUAUUUAUUUAUUUUUUUGAGACGGAGUCUCGCUCUGUCGCCCAGGUCGCCCA